UGGAGGCACAGCGAACACACCUAUUGACUGCACAGACCCAGGACUGGUGCCUGGUCUACACGCCUAACAGCAGCCUGGUCUUUCUAAAACUUGGCAGGGGACAAGUCUUUGGAGCCACCGGACCUCGGGGCCCCCUUUCGCUGCCCAGCUCGCCUCCCAGCUCAGACAUCGGCUUCUCCUCCCCAGAAGUGGAGCAAAGCCUCCUCCAACCUGGACAGCCCCAUGAGCUGUAAGGAAAAGCUCCGAGAGAUCAUCUUCUCCGAAGCCCAUGGAUCAGACCCAGACGACGAGGGAGCCUUUGAAUAUUUUUGGGAUCUGGUGAGCCACCAGGAGCUGCGGUUCCUGCUGUUUGAUGAAGAGGAAUUGAGAACACUCGCAGAGGAGGCCAACUUG